rnacentral:rRNA from 1 species
AGAGUUUGAUCAUGGCUCAGGAUGGACGCUAGCUACAGGCUUAACACAUGCAAGUCGAGGGGAAACGACAUCGAAAGCUUGCUUUUGAUGGGCGUCGACCGGCGCACGGGUGAGUAACGCGUAUCCAACCUGCCCACCACUUGGGGAUAACCUUGCGAAAGUAAGACUAAUACCCAAUGGCGUCUCUAGAAGACAUCUGAAAGAGAUUAAAGAUUUAUCGGUGAUGGAUGGGGAUGCGUCUGAUUAGCUUGGUUGGCGGGGUAACGGCCACAAGGCGACGAUCAGUAGGGGUUCUGAGAGGAAGGUCCCCCANAUUGGAACUGAGACACGGUCCAAACGUCCUACGGGAGGCA